CAAACGACUCUCGGCAACGGAUAUCUCGGCUCACGCAUCGAUGAAGAACGUAGCAAAAUGCGAUACUUGGUGUGAAUUGCAAAAUCCCGUGAACCAUCGAGUUUUUGAACGCAAGUUGCGCCCGAAGCCAUUUGGUUGAGGGCACGUCUGCCUGGGCGUCACGCA
rnacentral:rRNA from 2 species